AUUGAACGCUGGCGGCAUGCCUUACACAUGCAAGUCGAACGGUAACGCGGGGGCAACCUGGCGACGAGUGGCGAACGGGUGAGUAAUGCAUCGGAACGUGCCUGUAGUGGGGGAUAACUGUUCGAAAGAACAGCUAAUACCGCAUACGACCUGAGGUGAAGGGGGGGAUCGCAAGACCUCUCGCUAUUGGAGCGGCCGAUAUCAGAUUAGCUAGUUGGUGGGGUAAAGGCCUACCAAGGCAACGAUCUGUAGUUGGUCUGAGAGGACGACCAGCCACACUGGGACUGAGACACGGCCCAGACUCCUACGGGAGGCAGCAGUGGGAAUUUUGGACAAUGGGGGAAACCCUGAUCCAGCAAUGCCGCGUGAGUGAAGAAGGCCUUCGGGUUGUAAAGCUCUUUUGUCAGGGAAGAAACACCGGCUCUAACACAGUCCGGGAAUGACGGUACCUGAAGAAUAAGCACCGGCUAACUACGUG
rnacentral:rRNA from 1 species